UGAGAAUGUUGUUUGUUAUUCAACUUUUUCUGAUUUGUCAUCGUUUCUUUGUCCCUUUUCUAAUGUGUGUG
rnacentral:ribozyme from 1 species